AAAAGGCUGAAAACAUACUUAAGGAAUACGAUGGCUGAAACUCGACUAAAUGGAUUAACUUUGCUAUCAAUUCACCGAGAAGUUUCUAUUACGCCCGAAGAAAUUAUAGAUAUUAUGUCACAACAAUCAAGAAAAAUAGACAUUAUAUUGUAAACUUUAUAGUGUACACAUUUUGUAGAAAAAAUAAAAUAAGUUUUUUUUAUACAAAAA